ensembl:rRNA 5S_rRNA 5S ribosomal RNA
GCCUACGGCCAUACCACCCCUGAGAACGCCCGAUCUCGUCUGAUCUCGGAAGCUAAGCAGGGUCGGGCCCGGUUAGUACUUGGAUGGGAGACCGCCUGGGAAUACCGGGUGCUGUAGGCA